GAAUCUCUUUUCCCUGAGAAUCUCUUUUCCUGGGAAUUUCUUUUCCUGGGAAUCUCUUUUCCUGGGAAUUUCUUUUCCUGGGACUCUCUUUUCCCUGGGAAUCUCUUUUCCUGGGAAUCUCUUUUCCCUGAGAAUCUCUUUUCCCUGGGAAUCCCUUUUCCUGGGAAUCUCUUUUCCCUGGGAAUCCCUUUUCCUUGGAAUCUCUCUUCUUGGGACUCUCUUUUCCUGGGAAUUUCUUUUCCUGGGAAUCUCUUUUCCCUGAGAAUCUCUUUUCCUGGGAAUCUCUUUUCCUGGCAAUCUCUUUUCCCUGAGAAUCUCUUUUCCCUGGUAAUCUCUUUUCCUUGGGAAUCUCUUUUCCUGGGACUCUCUUUUCCUGGGAAUUUCUUUUCCCUGAGAAUCUCUUUUCUUGAGAAUCUCUUUCCCUGGAAAUCUCUUUUCACUGGGAAUCCCUUUUCCUGGGAAGCUCUUUUCCCUGAGAAUCUCUUUUCCCUGGGAAUCCCUUUUCCUGGGAAUCUCCCUUCUUGGGACUCUCUUUUCCCUGGGAAUCUCUUUUCCUGGGAAUCUCUCUUCUUGGGACUCUCUUUUCCUGGGAAUUUCUUUUCCUGGCAAUCUCUUUUCCUGGGAAUCUCUUUUCCCUGGGAAUCCCGUUUCCUGGGAAUCUCCCUUCUUGGGACUCUCUUUUCCUGGGACUCUCUUUUCCUGGGAAUUUCUUUUCCCUGACAAUCUCUUUUCUUGGGAAUCUCUUUUCUUGAGAAUCUCUUUUCCUGGGAAUCUCUUUUCCCAGGGAAUCUCUUUUCCUUUCAGUUUCAAACUGGAUUUAAGGCACCGGAAUUGUGGCAUGGAAGGAGCGGCAGCAAUGGUUGGGAAUGACCCACAGGUGCCUGAGACAUCUCCCCCAGGGUGACAUCUCCCCUCUAAAGGGAGGAAAAUGAUGAAUGUGGAAGUCAGAGCCAGGCCAGAGACUGGGAUGCGGGAAAACCUCCCCAAAGUGCAUUUGUGCAGCAGGAAGGGAGCGGGGUGGGCACUCACAGGGCAAUGAGUGAGCACACACAUGACCAGGUAUUCAUUGACCAGGGGUGACAGGAGGGCAGCGGCCACAGAGCCAGUCUGGGUGUCACACACAGCC
rnacentral:lncRNA from 1 species